rnacentral:rRNA from 1 species
AGUGAACGCUGGCGGUAGACCUAACACAUGCAAGUCGAACGGCAGCACAGUAAGAGCUUGCUCUUACGGGUGGCGAGUGGCGGACGGGUGAGGAAUACAUCGGAAUCUACUUUUUCGUGGGGGAUAACGUAGGGAAACUUACGCUAAUACCGCAUACGACCUACGGGUGAAAGCAGGGGAUCUUCGGACCUUGCGCGAUUGAAUGAGCCGAUGUCGGAUUAGCUAGUUGGCGGGGUAAGGCCCACCAAGGCGACGAUCCGUAGCUGGUCUGAGAGGAUGAUCAGCCACACUGGAACUGAGACACGGUCCAGACUCCUACGGGAGGCAGCAGUGGGGAAUAUUGGACAAUGGGCGCAAGCCUGAUCCAGCCAUACCGCGUGGGUGAAGAAGGCCUUCGGGUUGUAAAGCCCUUUUGUUGGGAAAGAAAAGCAGCAGGUUAAUACCCCGCUGUUCUGACGGUACCCAAAGAAUAAGCACCGGCUAACUUCGUG